ACAAAAACCAUAAUCAAUCGUUAUCUAUCUCUCAUCUCAAACUCAAAGACAAAACAGAACUCACUCACUCACUCUCACUCUCACUCUCACUCUCGCGAUUCUCAUCUACACUGCAUGCACCCACUGAUCGACCUCAUCGCACACCUCACAGUCUCUCACUCUCUGGUUUUGCAUCUACACCGAUCGACUCUCUCUCAUCGCAAAAUCGGCCGAUCGACCGACUCUCGCAUCGCACCGAUCGACCUCACAGGUUUGGGACGUAUUGCUGGAAUUUUAUCUCUUGAAGUAGAGGAUGGGAAUACCACACUGGAUUCUCUCCAGCAUGUUGGGUCAGAACUAGCAAUGCAUGUAGUUGCUACUAAGCCAUUGUUUCUGAGAAAGGAUCUUGUGUCUUCAGAUGCAUUGGAGAAUGAACGUAAGAUUCUUAAGUCUCAGGUAUGGAUUCUGAAGGAGAUGAUUCGAUUUCACCAACAUUUCAUGCUAUGGAUUCUGAAGGAGCAGAUUCGAAUUCACCAACAUUUCAUGACAUCAAUGGAAUUGGCCUGUGUUCACCGAAAUCAAGUGAGUCAAAAAGGACGACGCAAUGGAAAAGACAGUACUAAACGAGGCAGGCGCAAAUGCUGGCCUCCUCGUCGCGCCUGCCUCUAGAGAAAUAUUAUUAAUAAAUGACUUAACCACAGAACAAUGAGGAAAAAUAUUAUUAACAAGUGGGCAUCAUUGAAAGCAAGCACAACUAGUUUGACAAAAUUAAAUAAUUACACUUGUAAUUUCUGUUCAUAUAACGCUACGCCUUGACUUGAAUUUUUUUGAAUGUCAACAAGCAAAAUUUGAAUUAUUUGACCUCCCCUCACAAAUAGUUGUGUACUGGGUAGAAGUUUAUUAUUUUUUCUACACAAUCUCUUUUUGUUUCGUUUUGUUUUGUUUUGUUUUUUUUUUUUUUCUAGUGGCAGAGAUAAAUGGUGGCUUGCUCGACCCGAUUGGGCCACUAGGAUUCGGUAUAGACCUUAAAUUUUACAAGUUUUUUUGGAUUAUGAGUUACUAGUUCUUAUGUUUUUGAAUAUGACAAGCAAAACUUGAAUUAUCCGACAUUGCUCAAAAAUAGUGGUUUACGGGAUAGAAACUGAUUUUUUUUUUGGACGCUGUCUUUUGUUUUUUUUCCAAUUGUAGGCGUAUAUACUGAUGUACUUGGCCCUCCGAUUGACGUAGCUGGUUGUCACGUACCGACUUAUUGAGGAUGUGAGUUCUAUAUCAAGCACCUUGCAUGCGCAUUAGUUUGUGAGCAGCAAGGCAGGUAGGGUAGAUCCCUAUCACUUCUCUUGGGUUGGUCCUUGGGCAUAAUGCACGAGGGUACGUUGUACCACUCGUGGAGCCAGCUUCUCGGGAGGAUGACAAGCGCCCAGUCCGUGACAAGUGAUAUUAGAGCCAACCUAGAGCCACUGUGAUAGGGACGGUACGUGGAACUUACACGAAGCGCCUUCAUUGUGGGGUUUGCGCCAAGGGUGGUGUUCGCACGGGACGGGUUUCGUGGGUAGGGGAACGGACAAGCGUGGAUGCAGGCAGGGUCAUGUCUCCCUGACGUGGGCGUCAGGACUGGCGGUGGUAGUGUGGCACGUACCCGACUCAUUAGAGAUGCGAGUUCUACACCAAGCACUUUGCAAGCGCAUUAGUUUGUGAGCAGCAAGGCAGGCAGGGUAGAUACCUAUCGCAUCUCCUGGGUUGGUCCUUGGACAUAAUGCACGGGGUACGCAGUACUACUUGUGGAGCCGACUUCUCUGGAGGAUGACAAGCGCCCAGUCCGUGACAACCAGCUCCAGUUAUUGUAAAAAAAGAUGUUAAAAAAAAUAUAUAAAUUUCCUAUCCAGUAAAGAACUUGUUUUGAGGAGAUGUCAAAUAAUUCAAGUUUGGUUUGAUAACAUUCAAAAAAUAUUUUUGUCGUUGCAUAAUCUUAUAAAAAAUGAGAUUAGAUGUGCAAUAAUAUGAUUUUGUCAAACCUGGUAUCUCCACUUGCUUCCGAUAAUGUCCAAUUCUUCAUAAUUUUUUUGCCAUUUUUUAUGAAGUAGAACUCCAGCUUAAUGAUCAAAACUUGUAAUCAAAUGACUAUAACUUAUUAAAUUUCAGCCAUUACCGAAUGCUGGUGGAUCAUUUGGUGCAUCGAGCAGGCCAAAAUCUACAGAUGCCAUUGGGAAAGGAAAAAAAGAAAAGAAAAUGAGAUAGCGUUGAAAAAAUAUUUAGUUUCUACUCAGUAGACAACUAUUUGUAAGGGGAGGUCAAAUAAUUCAAGUUUUGUUUCUUGACGUUCAAAAAAAUUCAUGUCAUUGCAUAACAUUACAUGAGAAGAAUUUAAGGCGGUGAAAUUAUUUAAUUUUGAGAUUCUUUGUAUCUCCAUUUCUUUUACAUAAUACCCUAUUCUUAAUAACAUUUUUCCUCAUUUUUGUAUGGUAAGUCAAUUAUUAAAAAUUAUAACUUCAACC